rnacentral:lncRNA from 1 species
GGGAACGUCUGCGUCUCUGAUUUGAAGACUAAGGUGAGUAUUGUACACUGAUGUCUAUCAUUUGGAGUUUUAUUCAAAAGAAUUGUGUUUAUUGUUACUAUAGUAUUAAUUUAGUAGUAGUGGUAAUAUCACCAUGAUCGCUGUUACUUGACAUAAACUUCUGUGAGAACUCCUUUAGAUCGGAGGCUUUCUUUCACUAUUAGAGCCCAUAAAUGCAAAUUAAGAGAUGUUUAAAUGACCGUAUUUGGAAUCUGGUUAGAUUCUGACUUAAGUACGUGAACAACCUCAUGUUUGAAGAACUCUUUCAACCCUAAGUCUAUCAUGUCUCAAGUCUACUAUUACAAAACAAAUUAGACAAUAAGCCGUUGAAAGUGUAAGAGUCUUCUCAUUAAAUGUCCCCCAAAGGUAUUAUGAACCUACGUGAAAUAGCAGAGUAAGUUCCUCUAUAUUGUCUAAUUGCUUAACAGGGGGCUUAGUGAUACCAUAAUCAAGCCUAUGUAAUAUGCACUGUAGCUCUAUUUCCAUUUUAAGGGCCAGUGCUUUUCCUUUGAAGACCUUCACACCCCAUGUAAUAUGCCAGCAGCUGUUUCACUGACUUCUGUCUUGAUCUGCAAAUAUGUGUUUAAACUGUCAUUAAUUUCUGCACUCACAGGACAUUGGAUCUGGUGUUUCAGCAGCAAAACCUGCUGGGAAAAUUGCAAUCAUAUAAUCCUCAACUGCUUUCUUGUUUGCUGAAUGGAAUAUCUAAACCCAGAGGAGCUCUAGAAGUUCUGGAUUGGAUCUCAGGCCAAGAUCUCAGUUAGGAAUGUCCAGGCCACAUAACACAUGAUUUUCUGCCAGCAUCAUUGCAUAAGAGGCAGAAUAAUUUCUGAAAAUACCUGAGAGCAGAUACAGAGUUGGAGGCAUGUCGUUCUCUUCUUUAAUCCAAUGGUGGAUGAGAAAAGUCCCUCUAGUGGCAUGUGGGACCUUUUUCACAAUCAUCAGGGCCUAUGAACAGGUAAGUAGGCUUCUUAAGAUAGUUUUCUGUUUCUGAUAAGAUGAAACACAUUCUUUUUUUAAGAAGAUGGAACAUUCUAUGAAAAGAUUGAAAUUUCUGGAUAGAUAAUAAAAGACAGUACAGAGAAGAUCA